GGAAGGGUGGCUGAGCGGACGAAAGCGUCGGUCUUGAGAACCGAUAGAGAGCUUGCUCUCUCGUGGGUUCGAAUCCCACCCCUUCCG
rnacentral:tRNA from 1 species